AUGCAUUCAACACAUGUGUUGUGUAUGCGAUUAGCAAUAGGAGUAAUUUACGCUCAGUUUUUCCUUUCAUCCAUUGGUGAAAGCUUCUAAGAUUUGUCAGCAGUCUGCAGCUAAUUUCUGUGUGUGGCUCAUCAACACCAUUAGAGGCUGGAAACACUGUGGAUGAACAAGCGAAAAAGUCUUGUCAAGAUCUUAUCUCAGGGGUAAUGAUUGGUUUAAAAUGAGAGAGGAAAAUAUAGUUAUUUUUUUUUUUUUUUUUAGUAGAAAUAGAAUAUUUGAUGUGAAGAACUCCCAGCUUGUUUUUGAGGAAAACAGAGCAAGGCUGUGAGCAAUUCAAGUCUGUGCAGGAGCAGGGGCUGUGUUUAAACAGCAGUUAUUCUGUUACUUGUCUGAGAAAUGUCAGCAGAUGGACUUUGAUUUCAAUGCUGUGAAUAUUUGCAGUGGCUUUGGAUGUUGGAAUAUAAGCAGUGAUCUUCUUUUCUCCUUCUUGUAUUUACCUGCUGAAAAAUGAGUGAGGAAGCAAAGGAAAAAAAUGCUAAACCAGCUCACAGGAAGAAGAAAGGAAAAAAGGUAAGUGAAUGUGGCACUGAACAUCCCUGUCGUCAUUAUUAUCACUUUCCCUAGCUCUUAUUGCCGAUGCCGAUUUAUGGAAUAAAGGCAAUAGGAAAAUACUGAUAUGCAGGUACUGUGGACACUAUUGGAAUAUAUAUUCUGAGAAAGAUGAGAGAGGUCCCAGAGCAUAUUGGUCUUCUGCUCCAAGAGGUCUCCUCCUACAAGAUACCACAGAGUUCUGUCUUGUCAUCAUUUAUUCAAGAUUAGAUGACUACAGUGCAUUCUGGAUCGAGCUACGUUUCAGGAUCUUUCAGUAGCACGCAUUGGUGCAUAUCACUAUGAUUCAUCACGACCAGCAAUGACGAUUUUAAACACAGUUUGCCCUGUCUACAAUAGAUGCAAAGCCCUGUUUAAAAUCAUGAUAGCAAAAUGAGUGCACUAACAUGUUUUAAAACUCUGGCUCUUUCCCUAGUCUAGACAUGGUGUCGUACUAAAUGGUGACUCACAUAGGGAGCAUCUUACAACAGGGCUUUAUAGCACUGGAUUUUGGUUAGUUUAUAGCUGGUGCUCAAGCUUCUGGCUUUGGCUAUAAAGUCCUGACUAAAUUCGGAGGUAGCUUCUUGAGAAAUUGUCUCAUUUUUCACAUUACCGCAAUCACAGCUGCAAUCAGUACUAUUCUAACCAGCAGCUGCUAGAAUAACAGGGAGGCAGGUGGUCAUAGAGCAUUUGCAUGAGUGUUCCUCCGCUCUAGAACUCACUACUUGUUCUGCCAGGCCCUGGGUUUUUUUUUCCUUCAGGACAAAUUACAAAGCUCAUCUGUUCUCUUGGGCGUUUGGUGAGGAGAUGACUUGAACGAUGUGGGUGUGGGUAUUAUUCUGGAUGAGUUUUAUUAAAUAGGCUGCCAUUUAGUAGCAGUUCAUUGUGGUUUUUUUAUUUGUAUACUUUUUGUAUAUUAUAAAAGCUCCUAGAGCCAUUGGGACUGGUGAUUUAAAGAAAUACUAAUACAUUGAAGUUUUCUUCGUCUAGCUUUACUCGGAUAGCCUUCA
rnacentral:lncRNA from 1 species